GAUCCUGGCUCAGGAUGAACGCUAGCGGCAGGCUUAACACAUGCAAGUCGAGGGGCAACGCGAGUAGCAAUACUUGGCGGCGACCGGCGCAAGGGUGCGUAACGCGUGAGCAACAUGCCCGUAUCAGGGGGAUAAUCCAGGGAAACUUGGUCUAAUACCCCAUAGUAAUUUUGUAAGGCAUCUUAUAAGAUUUAAAGCUUUGGUGGAUACGGAUUGGCUCGCGUGACAUUAGCUGGAUGGUAAGGUAACGGCUUACCAUGGCUAUGAUGUCUAGGGGUUCUGAGAGGAAGGUCCCCCACACUGGAACUGAGACACGGUCCAGACUCCUACGGGAGGCAGCAGUGAGGAAUAUUGGACAAUGGAUGGAAAUCUGAUCCAGCCAUGCCGCGUGAAGGAAGAAGGUCCUAUGGAUUGUAAACUUCUUUUGUAUGGGAGCAAUAAGGCCUACGAGUAGGUUGAUGAGAGUACCAUACGAAUAAGCACCGGCUAACUCCGUGCCAGCCGCAGC
rnacentral:rRNA from 1 species